rnacentral:snoRNA from 1 species
CUUGGUGGGUUGAUGAAGCAUUUUCGGAUGUAAAACUCUUUCAAAAUGUCCAAGAGCGCAAAAACCGUGUGGAUAUUUCCGUUGCCUUCCUUCUGACCAC